rnacentral:rRNA from 1 species
UACAGAGGUCCCAAGCGUUGUUCGGAUUCACUGGGCGUAAAGGGUGCGUAGGCGGUCUGACAAGUCUGAUGUGAAAUCUAUGGGCUCAACCCAUAGUCUGCAUCGGAAACUGUCGGGCUUGAGUAUGGGAGAGGUGAGUGGAAUCUCCGGUGUAGCGGUGAAAUGCGUAGAUAUCGGAAGGAACACCAGUGGCGAAGGCGAUCACCUGGGGUUGUUCUGACGCUGAGGAGCGAAAGCUAGGGGAGCAAACGGG